UACGUAGGGUGCAAGCGUUGUCCGGAAUUAUUGGGCGUAAAGAGCUCGUAGGCGGUCUGUCGCGUCGGAUGUGAAAUCCCAGGGCUCAACCCUGGGCCUGCAUUCGAUACGGGCAGACUAGAGUUCGGUAGGGGAGACUGGAAUUCCUGGUGUAGCGGUGAAAUGCGCAGAUAUCAGGAGGAACACCCGUGGCGAAGGCGGCUCUCUGGGACGGUACUGACGCUGAGACGCGAAAAGCGUGGGGAGCGAACAGG
rnacentral:rRNA from 1 species